GAUCCUGGCUCAGAAUCAACGCUGGCGGCGUGCCUAAUACAUGCAAGUCGGACGCGAAAGUCCCGCAAGGGGCGAGUAGAGUGGCAAACGGGUGAGUAACGCGUGGGCGACCUACCUUCGAGUGGGGGACAACCUUCCGAAAGGAAGGCUAAUACCGCAUGACAUACCGUGUUUAGAUACACGGACAUCAAAGUCGGGGAUCGCAAGACCUGACGCUUGAAGAGGGGCCCGCGUCCGAUUAGCUAGUUGGUGGGGUAACGGCCCACCAAGGCCCCGAUCGGUAUCCGGCCUGAGAGGGCGGACGGACACACUGGAACUGAGACACGGUCCAGACUCCUACGGGAGGCAGCAGUAGGGAAUUGUUCACAAUGGGCGCAAGCCUGACGACGCAACGCCGCGUGGAGGAUGAAGCCCUUCGGGUCGUAAACUCCUUUCGACCGAGAUGAAUACCUGCCGGCCUAAUACGUCGGCAGGCUGACAGUAUCGAGGGAAGAAGCCCCGGCUAACUCCGUGCCAGCAGCCGCGGUAAUACGGGGGGGGCAAGCGUUGUUCGGAAUUACUGGGCGUAAAGGGCUCGUAGGCGGCCAGCCAAGUCGGACGUGAAAUCCCUCGGCUUAACCGGGGAACUGCGUCCGAUACUGGUUGGCUUGAAGUCGGGAGAGGGAUGCGGAAUUCCAGGUGUAGCGGUGAAAUGCGUAGAUAUCUGGAGGAACACCGGUGGCGAAGGCGGCAUCCUGGACCGAUCUUGACGCUGAGGAGCGAAAGCUAGGGGAGCAAACGGGAUUAGAUACCCCGGUAGUCCUAGCCCUAAACGAUGAAUGCUUGGUGUGGCGGGUUGAUCCCUGCCGUGCCGGAGCUAACGCAUUAAGCAUUCCGCCUGGGGAGUACGGUCGCAAGGCUGAAACUCAAAGGAAUUGACGGGGGCCCGCACAAGCGGUGGAGCAUGUGGUUUAAUUCGACGCAACGCGAAGAACCUUACCUGGGCUUGAACUGUAGUUGACUGUCCGUGGAAACAUGGACUUUCCCUUCGGGGACUGCUGUAGAGGUGCUGCACGGCUGUCGUCAGCUCGUGUCGUGAGAUGUUGGGUUAAGUCCCGCAACGAGCGCAACCCUUGUCCUGUGUUGCUACUUCUUCGGAAGGCACUCUCAGGAGACCGCCAGCGACAAGUUGGAGGAAGGUGGGGACGACGUCAAGUCAUCGUGGCCUUUAUGUCCAGGGCUACACACGUGCUACAAUGGCCGGUACAAAGCGCUGCCAACCCGCGAGGGGGAGCCAAUCGCAAAAAACCGGUCUCAGUUCGGAUUGCAGGCUGCAACCCGCCUGCAUGAAGCUGGAAUCGCUAGUAAUGGCGUAUCAGAACGACGCCGUGAAUACGUUCCCGGGCCUUGUACACACCGCCCGUCACAUCACGAAAGUGGAUUGUACUAGAAGUCUGCAUGCUAACCUUCGGGAGGCAGCGGCCCAAGGUGUGAUCCAUGAUUGGGGUGAAGAGUCGUAACAAGGUAACC
rnacentral:rRNA from 1 species